UUGGGGAAUAUAGCUCAGUUGGUAGAGUACCUGCCUCACAUGCACAAGGCUCUGGGUUCAAUGCCCAGCACCAAA
rnacentral:tRNA from 1 species